GGGUGUGUGUCUGCGUACGAUCGCAGGAGAAGGGGAAAAAGGGGGUGUAAACCCUAAGCACAAAAAAAAUCAUCAAUUGAAAAGGAAAUCGCGGGUUGAUUGUGUGCAUGAACCAAGAAUGAUGAUCCCUUAAGCGUUUCUCACAUCAAGUAAGUCAAAUUUCACGAUUUGGUGAUGAUUGAUGAAACGGGAACGUGUCAAGGAGAGGUCAAGCAUAGGAGGAUAACGGGUCAAGAUAAGGCAAGGUGACAAAUACACUUAUUGGAGUACUCGAGGUAUGGGAUCGUUGGCUUCAUGAAGAAAUGGAGCUGGAUUUGGAUAAGAGUAUUUAAGAAAGCGCUUGGACAAUUCCACGACUACUUUAUAGAAUGCUCUACGAAAUUCUAUUAUAUAGUUUAAUGUUGUAUGGUAUGUUAAUGACUAAUGGUUUGGUUGUACGUGGUGUCCACAGGUAUCGCUUGGGUUUUCUCUACAUUUAUUGAAGUGAAGCGGACUUAGUUCGAGUUGAGAGCAAGGAUUGUACGGGGUAGAAUGGUCACAUAGUGUAACUCAUAUAGGUUUUGAAGUAUUAAUGUUAUAAAACGUUAUAAUCCGUUUUAAUGAAUAUAUGGCAUUUCGCAUUUGAACCUUCAUGUGUUUGAUAUGUCUAUUAAAGAACGAAAUUUUUGGGCU
rnacentral:lncRNA from 1 species